GGCUUGUCUGAUGGUAGUGGGUAUCAGAACUUAUUAUUAAUAACAUUAGUGUCACUAAAGUUGGUAUACAAGCCCCUAUUGCUAAAUUUGGCUUAA
ensembl:misc_RNA Y_RNA Y RNA